rnacentral:lncRNA from 1 species
GAACUUGCCUGCUCCUCGGUGACUUUGUUCGCUCCUCUGCGAUAAAAAGCAGAUAACUCGGUGGUUUUUUUCGCAGUAACGACAUGUGCAGCAGGACAUAAUGAAGCUUUAUGUGGAUGUUGCAGCAGUGCGUGGAGGAAGUUCCUUUUAACGGAUGAUGCAGGUACAAGGUAGACAACAUAUCUUGAAUUGCUAAAAAAACGCUGUUUGCGUCAGAGUAAUGUCAAAGUGCUUACAGUGCAGGUAGUGAUAUAUAGAACCUACUGCAGUGAAGGCACUUGUAGCAUUAUGUUGACAACUGCCUCAGGAGAUCUCGCAGGACUUCAGAGAACGGAAAGGUGUUGAUCUCCAGGUUUGUACUUCUAGAAAUCCAACAUGCUGUACUAAAAAGAUGGAAGAAAGGUAUCAGACUGCAGCAAAGCAAGAUAUACAGCAAGUGCUUCAAACAUCAAGUGCUACAUUAAAAUUUUUAAUAUCUCGUAAUGCAGCUGCUUUUCAAGAAGUGGAGUCAUGUACUGCAUUUUCAAAGGCUUUGUGAGAGGUGCUAUUUUCUCCUUGUAAUUGUGAAAGAACAUUUUUGUCUGCCUGGUUAUCC